rnacentral:lncRNA from 1 species
AUGAAUCCUCAUUCCUGUCCAUCCCUGCAGCCUCCCAGUGCAAGGGCUGCGGUGGGCACUGAUCUGUGCCGGGGGGUGGUAAUCGUGCCAAAUCCCUGCCCUUUUAACCCAAAUCCCCCGUGGGGAGUCUCAGCAGAGUCACACAGCCCGGGCAGGGGGUGCCAGGUUGGGGUGGGGCACAGGGUGGGUCUCAGGUCCCCCCAAGGAGGGGUCUGGGCACCUGGAAGGGAAAUUCCCAUUUUCCAUGCCCGGCUGGGAGCACAGGCCUGGCCACAGCCCCCAGCCGUUGGGGACACUGCCCUGGUGUCACCAAAGUUCCAGGGCCACCCAGAGGGUGCCAGGAGGGCACCAGUGUGCGACAUUGCCGGCGACAAGGAGCAGCACCUGCAUCCGAGGAACGGCCACAUUCUACGGCCACAGCGAGAGCGUGGGGCCGCCGAGAGCCCCUGCGGGCACGGACUCAGCCCCUCCCUGCCCGUCCUCGUCCUGUGGCAUCCCAGAGCCCUUCCCGGCCCCGCGGGCACCCCAGAGUCCUUCCCAGCCCCGAGGGCACCCCAGAGCCCUUCCCGGCCCCGAGGCCAUCCCGGCGGCCCCGCUGCCAGCGCGAUAAGCGCGGCGAGCGCGGCGAGCGCGGCUCCCGGUCCCCUCCCUGCUGAGUCAAGCCACCGAAACUCAGCCCCCGGAGCUGGCGGGGUGCCGGUCCCCGCGGCUGCUGCUGCUGCUGCUGAGCCGGCCCCACCGCGCCCUGCCCCGCCGGCGCUGCGCCGGGAGCUAUUCCCAGCCUCUUCCCAAGAGCAUAUCCAGCUCCCGGCGCUGAUCCGGCUCCAUCCCACGCGGCCCCGGGUGCUGCCGCCCAGGCAGGGCUCAGCCCGGUGCCCAGAGGGGCAGGAGCAAUCUUUUGGAAGCAGAGGAGAGGUGGGAGCGGGUUUGGAGGAGCUUCAGGCCGUUCCCAUGACAAAUCUCCCCGGCAGAGUCACGCAGGCGGGGAUGGGGCCACGCUCCGGGCGCAGGAAGGCAGGAAGGGGCUGGAGAGGCAGAGUGAGGAGCCUGGGAAGUGCCGGAGGUGCCGGAGGAUGGCGAGCGGGGAUUCCAGAGAGUCGAUUCUCCCCACCCUGUGACUCACUUCCCACGGCACUUUCCUGUCUGCCAGCGCCCAGGCCGUGGGGCAGCCGUGGGGCUCCAGGGGUGAUGGGAUCAUCUGCCAUGGGGCAGCUGUGGGGCUCCAGGGGUGAUGGGAUGGUCCAGGGAUCUGCCCAGUCUGGAGCAGGGAAAGGGAUGUGUGGGACUACACAGAUCCCGGAUUAUCCUCUCUCGUCAUCCACAGGAAAUGGGGAGAGAAAGGGGUUCUGA